UUUUGCUCAUCUCCUGUCCUGCACACACGUGUUCCACAUUUCCGUCUGUUGCCUUCAUCGCAGUCAUAGUUGUUUUCGUUACCAAUGAUAACUUAGGAAAUGUGUGCGUUUCUAACAAACUACCGUGGCCUUAUGAUUCCCAAGUGGCGCAGCUGUCUAAGGCACACCGUCUCAAUGCUAGAGGUGUCACUACAGACACCCAUGUUCAAAUCCAGACUGCAUUUCUAUCAAAUGGUCCACCUUCCCUAUGGCCGACAUGGUUGCUGUAUGGACAAUGGAGAGGACAUGGAUGCAUUUCACUACACUCGCAUUAACAUCUGCUAACCAUGUGUAUGUGACAAAUAAAAUUUGAU